rnacentral:rRNA from 1 species
UACGGAGGGGGCAAGCGUUAUUCGGAAUUACUGGGCGUAAAGGGUUCGUAGGUGGCCUGCUAAGUCAGACGUGAAAUCCCUCAGCUUAACUGGGGAACUGCGUCUGAUACUGGAAGGCUUGAGUGCAGGAGAGGAACGCGGAAUUCCAGGUGUAGCGGUGAAAUGCGUAGAUAUCUGGAGGAACACCGGUGGCGAAGGCGGCGUUCUGGACUGCAACUGACACUGAUGAACGAAAGCCAGGGGAGCAAACGGG